rnacentral:rRNA from 11 species
AGCGUGCGAUUGGAUUGCACGUCUAAGCAGUAAGGCUGAGUAUUAGGCAAAUCCGGUACUCGUUAAGGCUGAGCUGUGAUGGGGAGAAGACAUUGAGUCUUCGAGUCGUUGAUUUCACACUGCCGAGAAAAGCCUCUAGAUAGAAAAUAGGUGCCCGUACCGCAAACCGACACAGGUAGUCAAGAUGAGAAUUCUAAGGUGAGCGAGCGAACUCUCGUUAAGGAACUCGGCAAAAUGACCCCGUAACUUCGGGAGAAGGGGUGCUCUUUAGGGUUAACGCCCAGAAGAGCCGCAGUGAAUAGGCCCAAGCGACUGUUUAUCAAAAACACAGGUCUCUGCUAAACCGUAAGGUGAUGUAUAGGGGCUGACGCCUGCCCGGUGCUGGAAGGUUAAGAGGAGUGGUUAGCUUCUGCGAAGCUACGAAUCGAAGCCCCAGUAAACGGCGGCCGUAACUAUAACGGUCCUAAGGUAGCGAAAUUCCUUGUCGGGUAAGUUCCGACCCGCACGAAAGGCGUAACGAUUUGGGCACUGUCUCAACGAGAGACUCGGUGAAAUCAUAGUACCUGUGAAGAUGCAGGUUACCCGCGACAGGACGGAAAGACCCCGUGGAGCUUUACUGUAGCCUGAUAUUGAAAUUCGGCACAGCUUGUACAGGAUAGGUAGGAGCCUUUGAAACGUGAGCGCUAGCUUACGUGGAGGCGCUGGUGGGAUACUACCCUAGCUGUGUUGGCUUUCUAACCCGCACCACUUAUCGUGGUGGGAGACAGUGUCAAGCGGGCAGUUUGACUGGGGCGGUCGCCUCCUAAAAGGUAACGGAGGCGCUCAAAGGUUCCCUCAGAAUGGUUGGAAAUCAUUCAUAGAGUGCAAAGGCAUAAGGGAGCUUGACUGCGAGACCUACAAGUCGAGCAGGGUCGAAAGACGGACUUAGUGAUCCGGUGGUUCCGCAUGGAAGGGCCAUCGCUCAACGGAUAAAAGCUACCCCGGGGAUAACAGGCUUAUCUCCCCCAAGAGUUCACAUCGACGGGGAGGUUUGGCACCUCGAUGUCGGCUCAUCGCAUCCUGGGGCUGUAGUCGGUCCCAAGGGUUGGGCUGUUCGCCCAUUAAAGCGGUACGCGAGCUGGGUUCAGAACGUCGUGAGACAGUUCGGUCCCUAUCCGUCGUGGGCGUAGGAAAUUUGAGAGGAGCUGUCCUUAGUACGAGAGGACCGGGAUGGACAUACCUCUGGUGUACCAGUUGUCGUGCCAACGGCAUAGCUGGGUAGCUAUGUGUGGACGGGAUAAGUGCUGAAAGCAUCUAAGCAUGAAGCCCCCCUCAAGAUGAGAUUUCCCAACUUCGGUUAUAAGAUCCCUCAAAGAUGAUGAGGUUAAUAGGUUCGAGGUGGAAGCAUGGUGACAUGUGGAGCUGACGAAUACUAAUCGAUCGAAGACUUAAUCAA